rnacentral:rRNA from 1 species
UACGUAGGGGGCAAGCGUUGUCCGGAAUCAUUGGGCGUAAAGCGCGCGUAGGCGGCCCGGUAAGUCCGUUGUGAAAGUCAAAGGCUCAACCUUUGAAUGCCGAUGGAUACUGCCGGGCUAGAGUCCGGAAGAGGCGAGUGGAAUUCCUGGUGUAGCGGUGGAAUGCGCAGAUAUCAGGAGGAACACCGAUAGCGAAGGCAGCUCGCUGGGACGGUACUGACGCUGAGGCGCGAAAGCGUGGGGAGCGUACAGG